rnacentral:rRNA from 1 species
CCUACGGGAGGCAGCAGUGAGGAAUAUUGGUCAAUGGUCGGGAGACUGAACCAGCCAAGCCGCGUGAGGGAUGAAGGUACAGAGUAUCGUAAACCUCUUUUGUCAGGGAACAAAGGCGGGGACGUGUCCCCGGAUGAGUGUACCUGAAGAAAAAGCAUCGGCUAACUCCGUGCCAGCAGCCGCGGUAAUACGGAGGAUGCGAGCGUUAUCCGGAUUUAUUGGGUUUAAAGGGUGCGCAGGCGGUCUGUUAAGUGAGCGUUCAAAGCCCGGGGCCCAACCCCGGCCCGCCGUUGAAACUGGCAGUCUUGAGUGGGAGAGAGGUAUGCGGAAUGCGCGGUGUAGCGGUGAAAUGCAUAGAUAUCGCGCAGAACUCCGAUUGCGAAGGCAGCAUGCCGGCUCCACACUGACGCUGAGGCACGAAAGCGUGGGUAUCGAACAGGAUUAGAUACCCCGGUAGUC